GAUGAACGCUGGCGGCGUGCCUAAUACAUGCAAGUCGAGCGAACGGACGAGAAGCUUGCUUCUCUGAUGUUAGCGGCGGACGGGUGAGUAACACGUGGAUAACCUACCUAUAAGACUGGGAUAACUUCGGGAAACCGGAGCUAAUACCGGAUAAUAUUUUGAACCGCAUGGUUCAAAAGUGAAAGACGGUCUUGCUGUCACUUAUAGAUGGAUCCGCGCUGCAUUAGCUAGUUGGUAAGGUAACGGCUUACCAAGGGAACGAUGCAUAGCCGACCUGAGAGGGUGAUCGGCCACACUGGAACUGAGACACGGUCCAGACUCCUACGGGAGGCAGCAGUAGGGAAUCUUCCGCAAUGGGCGAAAGCCUGACGGAGCAACGCCGCGUGAGUGAUGAAGGUCUUCGGAUCGUAAAACUCUGUUAUUAGGGAAGAACAUAUGUGUAAGUAACUGUGCACAUCUUGACGGUACCUAAUCAGAAAGCCACGGCUAACUACGUG
rnacentral:rRNA from 1 species